rnacentral:rRNA from 1 species
GACGAACGCUGGCGGCGUGCCUAAUACAUGCAAGUUGAGCGCUGAAGGUUGGUACUUGUACCGACUGGAUGAGCAGCGAACGGGUGAGUAACGCGUGGGGAAUCUGCCUUUGAGCGGGGACAACAUUUGGAAACGAAUGCUAAUACCGCAUAAAAACUUUAAACACAAGUUUUAAGUUUGAAAGAUGCAAUUGCAUCACUCAAAGAUGAUCCCGCGUUGUAUUAGCUAGUUGGUGAGGUAAAGGCUCACCAAGGCGAUGAUACCUAGCCGACCUGAGAGGGUGAUCGGCCACAUUGGGACUGAGACACGGCCCAAACUCCUACGGGAGGCAGCAGUAGGGAAUCUUCGGCAAUGGACGAAAGUCUGACCGAGCAACGCCGCGUGAGUGAAGAAGGUUUUCGGAUCGUAAAACUCUGUUGGUAGAGAAGAACGUUGGUGAGAGUGGAAAGCUCAUCAAGUGACGGUAACUACCCAGAAAGGGACGGCUAACUACGUG